rnacentral:tRNA from 1 species
GGAGUAGAGCUCAGUGGUAGAGCACACAGUUAGCAUGCACAAGGUCCUGGGUUCAAUCCCCAGUACCUCCA